UACAGAGGCCUCAAGCGUUGUUCGGAUUCAUUGGGCGUAAAGGGUGCGUAGGCGGCGCGGUAAGUCGGGUGUGAAAUCUUGGAGCUUAACUCCGAAACUGCAUUCGAUACUGCCGUGCUUGAGGACUGGAGAGGAGACUGGAAUUUACGGUGUAGCGGUGAAAUGCGUAGAUAUCGUAAGGAAGACCAGUGGCGAAGGCGGGUCUCUGGACAGUUCCUGACGCUGAGGCACGAAGGCCAGGGGAGCAAACGGGG
rnacentral:rRNA from 1 species